rnacentral:rRNA from 1 species
GAUGAACGCUGGCGGCGUGCCUAACACAUGCAAGUCGAACGAACGGACGAGAAUCUUGCUUCUCUGGUGUUAGCGGCGGACGAGUGAGUAACACGUGGAUAACCUACCUAUAAGACUUGGAUAACUUCGGCAAACCGGAGUUAAUACCAGAUGAUAUUUUGAACUGCAUGGUUCAAAAGUUAAAGACGGUUUUGCUGUGACUUAGAGAUGGAUCCGCGCUGCAUUAGCUAGUUGGUAAGGUAACGGCUUAGCAAGGGAACGAGGCAUAGCGGACGUGAGAGGGGGUGCGGCGACACUGGGGGUGAGACACGGUCCAGAGUCCUACGGGAGGCACCAGAAGGGAAUCUUCCGCAAUGGGCGAAAGCCUGACGGAGAGCCGCCGCGUGAGUGAUGAGGGUCCUCGGGGCGUAAGACUCUCUUAUGAGGGAAAAACAUAUGUUUAAGUAACUGUGCACAUCUUGACGGUACCUAAUCAGAAAGCCACGGCUAACUACGUG